GGCCAGGUAGCCAAGGAGUAAGGCAGAGGUCUGCAAAACCUCUAUGCGCGGGUGCAAUUCCCGCCCUGGCCUCCA
rnacentral:tRNA from 1 species